GGGGAUUUAGCUCAGUGGUAGAGCGCUUGCCUAGCAAGCACAAGGCCCUGGGUUCGAUCCCCAGCUCCA
rfam:Rattus norvegicus chromosome 20, whole genome shotgun sequence.